GGACUACUAGGGUAUCUAAUCCUGUUUGCUCCCCUAGCUUUCGUCUCUCAGCGUCAGUUGUGAUCCAGCGAGCCGCUUUCGCCUCGGAUGUUCCUACGGAUAUCUACGCAUUUCACCGCUACACCCGUAAUUCCACUCGCCUCUCUCACACUCUAGCACGGCAGUUUCGCUAGCAGCCCCUAGGUUAAGCCUAGGGAUUUCACUCUCGACUUGCCGCACCGCCUACGGACCCUUUACGCCCAGUAAUUCCGAGCAACGCUGGCCCCCUACGUAUUACCGCGGCUGCUGGCAC
rnacentral:rRNA from 1 species